rnacentral:rRNA from 1 species
UACGUAGGGGGUUAGCGUUGUCCGGAUUUACUGGGUAUAAAGGGCGCGUAGGCGGGUUUGUAAGUCAGUGGUGAAAUCCUACAGCUUAACUGUAGAACUGCCUUUGAUACUGCAAAUCUUGAGUUCAGAAGAGAGAGAUGGAAUUCCAGGUGUAGUGGUGAAAUACGUAGAUAUCUGGAAGAACACCAGUGGCGAAGGCGAUCUCUUGGUCUGUAACUGACGCUGAGGCGCGAAAGCGUGGGUAGCAAACAGG